GAUGAACGCUGGCGGCGUUCCUAAUACAUGCAAGUCGAGCGAAGCGGGGACGGGUGAGUCACACGUGGAUAACCUCCUAUAAGACGGUGCUAACUUCGGGAAACCGGAGCUAAACCGGAUAAUUAUAGUUGGAUCCGCGCUGCAUUAGCUAUUUGGUAAGGUAACGGCUUACAAAGGCAACGAUGCAUAGCAGACCUGGGAGGGGGAUCAGCGACACUGGAACUGAGAAGAGGGCCAGACUCCGACGGGAGGCAGCAGUAGGGAAUCUUGCGCAAGGGGCGAAAGCCUGACGGAGCAACGCCGCGUGAUUGAUGAGGUGCUUCGGAUGGUAAAGCUCUUUGAGUAGGGAGGCGGUACCUAAUCAGAAAGCGACGGCUAACUACGUGCCAGCAGCCGCGGUAAUAC
rnacentral:rRNA from 1 species